rnacentral:tRNA from 1 species
GUCUCGCUGGCCUAAUGGAUAAAGCAUCGAUUUCUGGAGCCGAAUAUUGAGGGUCUGAGUCCCUUCCGAGACG